rnacentral:rRNA from 1 species
UACGAAGGGGGCUAGCGUUGCUCGGAAUUACUGGGCGUAAAGGGCGCGUAGGCGGAUAGUUUAGUCAGAGGUGAAAGCCCAGGGCUCAACCUUGGAAUUGCCUUUGAUACUGGCUAUCUUGAGUUCGGGAGAGGUGAGUGGAAUGCCGAGUGUAGAGGUGAAAUUCGUAGAUAUUCGGCGGAACACCAGUGGCGAAGGCGACUCACUGGCCCGAUACUGACGCUGAGGCGCGAAGGUCAGGGGAGCAAACGGG